AACCGUACUUCUGAGGGGGGGCAGAGAC
rnacentral:sRNA from 1 species